UGAGGAAUAUUGGUCAAUGGGCUAAGGCCUGAACCAGCCAAGUCGCGUGAGGGAAGACGGUCCUAUGGAUUGUAAACCUCUUUUGUCGGGGAGCAACGAGGCCACGUGUGGCCGAAGUGAGAGUACCCGAAGAAAAAGCAUCGGCUAACUCCGUGCC
rnacentral:rRNA from 1 species